CCGGCCGUGUGCACGCGGCUUAAGGUGGAUCUCGCCGCGGUCGACACACCCUGCCUUGGCCGCGGCGGCCAACGCGGACGGACGUGCCAUUUUCUCGACGGCCGGGAGUCCGUUACACAAGAGGAUCCGUUAUGCGGAGAGAGAAAGUGGCGGCCGACGAUAUUUCGCUGCGGGUAUAGCGGUCGUCUCUCGGCCAGCAGGAAACUGGACUGCUCCAGAACGGAGCACGACCGUGAACGUCAUCUCCGCCGGCUGGCUUCUUCCACUGGACGACGACGACGUGCCGGCCAUCACGGUCGACGCGGAGAAAAGGGAAAGUGAGGCGACAAGACGAUUCGCGGAACGGCCUUUCAUCGAAUGUACCGUAUCGAUUCGAUGAAUAUCGAUUGGACGAAAAAGCGACAGGCUCGUGGCAGGAGAACAACGGGACAUUUAGAUCGCAACUGUAAUCGAAGAUAACCUCAAAAAAAAAGAACGAUCAAAAACGAGGCUCGUAGGAAUGUCACCGUCUGACCUUGAAAACGAAAUUCUCGCAGGCACAAUAUGUUACACAUAACGCGGCGAACUGGGACAGAUUGGCGGGAUUUAUGAAACAGCGCUAAUGACAUCUGUG